ensembl:snoRNA
UAGCCAGGUGGUGAAUCUGCUUACCUGCAAGUGUUUCUGCAGAAAUUUUAGAAAAAGCUGGCAAUAGUGAGGCCAUGUAACGAGUCGUAAGGACACUGAAGUCAUUAAGGUCAUUAAGGUACCUGAAAAUGGCUACAACA